AUUAUCUGGACUGAAAUUCAGGUUUUUUUAUCCUCAUCCUGCUGAUCUCCGAUUACAGACUCAAGGUACUGCCCACCAGGUGAGACCUCUGACUGGCCCAUUUGAAGGUGGCAUUCAGGUGGGAAGUCCUGCCUUGAGAUCACACAGCCAUGGGUAUUCCUAAACAGCCCACAAGCAUGUGAGAGCUGUCUGCUGGGAUGCUGGUGGAAUGCGAGGGGCCACAACUGCUGCCCACCUGGAAAAGGUGAACGUCCAUUCCAGACUCAAAUGACAUGGAAAAUAAAGCUCAGUGUUGUCAGAGUCCUGAUGCCAUCUCACUGGAAAGCCUUGGAUUGACCACACCUAGCAGCUUCAUUUACAUAUUUAAAUGAGAGAAUAAGAUGGGAUCUUGUGGGAUCAAUAGUACAAAUGCUAAGGGAUUAAGGAUGUCAUCCUAGACAACUCUCUGGAACUGGCCUGAAGUAAGAGCACUCCCCACUUUCAAAGGUCAAGAAGUCAAGAAGAACCAACAGGGUCUUUCCUUGGCAUAGAAGAUGGAAGUCUGAAUGACUAGAAGGCUCACUGGCCAAGGAUAACCUCAGGCUGCACUAGAUCUCUGAAGUUCUCCUGAGGUUUUCCAGAUAAUCUUCCCCGGGAAUAAAAUUCACAACCUCGCUCUGUCCUCUGCAUCAUGAACUUUGUUGGAGCUAUAGGCAGGACAACUAAGGUAGAUCUGAACCAUGUACAAUUCCAGAGUGUUUUCCAGAACAUUUCCAGAAAGUGUGAGUAGAACUGCUUUCAACAAGCCAAGAAGGGCAGAGAAUGCUCUUGCUAUUACAGUGGUACCUCUGGUUACAAACUUAAUUCGUUCCGGAGGUCCAUUCUUAACGUGAAACCGUUCUUAACCUGAGGUACCACUUUAGCUAAUGGGGCCUCCUGCUGCCGCCGCUGCGCAAUUUCUGUUCUCAUCCUGAGGUAAAGUUCUUAACCCGAGGUACUACUUCCGGGUUAGCGGAGUCAGUAACCCAAAGUGUUUGUAACCCGAGGUGUUUGUAACUCGAGGUACCACUGUAUUGAUCUUCUGUGAGUCUGUGAAUUUGUAAAAUGAAAAGUUUAGGCUCUGUGCUUAUCUGGACAUAACUCUACAUCCUUCCCCAAACCUGAAAGAUAUUCUCCCAAAUUUCGGACAUAACAGAAAUUGAUAAUGAUUAGUCUGUCAUGAUGAAAUUUACACAUGAACAGAGAUUAUAGCUUCACAUUUUCAGAACUUAGCUAUGUAUUUCAAAUAUGGGUUGAAACGUUAAUUUUUAUUUUUGUCUAUUGUUGGAAUACUUUUAAUUUAGAGGAAGAAUCAACUAUUCAUUGAUAAUAGUUAAAUUUAUUUUUGUAAUGAGGAAAACUACAUGCAACUGGAAGCAAGUUUUCCUCACAUUUUAACAUUUUUGUGUUUAGAUUUUGGCAACAAAUGUGUAGGUGUUAACAAUACAUGAGUUCAAAAACGUAUGUUAUUUGGUGUGGCUUAAUUUCUAAAUUGCUUGUCUGAAAAUGAUACUCGGGACCUCUUAAUAUGGCAGCUCUUUCCCUGAUCAUAAUUGAAGUAUUAUUAUUAUUAUUAUUAUUAGAGUGGAAGAGACUUUGUGCAUGUGUAAUGACACACUUUCCUAAAUAAGUACCGUACAAGACCUAUUGUGCUGAAAAUACCAAAGUUAAUAAUUGCAGCCAAGUCAAAAUGUUACCAGCCAUCCCAGCUAUAGGCCUUUAGUCCACAUGCUUCUCCACUGAUUCCUGGAUAUUCUAAACCUACUUUACUCUCAAGGGAAGCUGCCCAAAAGCUGGAGAGAGUUUCCUUGUCAAAAAACAUUUUGAAAAAUAGGAGGUACAAAUGUCUUACCCAUGAACCCACGUUUCAUGCCCAUAAUAAAGCUCAAGGUUUCUAGUUUCACUUGAGUUACAGAUAUGCCUAGGGCUUAGGCACCAAUUAUUCAGAGAAAAGUAACUGACCAAGCUUCCAAGAAAAGGGAGGGAGCAAAAUGGGAAAUAAUUCAUUAUUCUAUUCACACUACUAGGGAAUAGGAAGGAGUGUUUGAUUACACGGCUUCUUUCAUGACCAAACUAGCUUUGGCAUGUGAGACUUUUGCGAUUCAAUUCACGAGGGAAAAAGAUUUCCUCUUCAAGCACAUUCAGAAAUUCAAGAUUCUUAAUUCUUCUCCGGAUAGUGCAUUUCUUCACGAACAGUGAGAUGGUGGCUCAAAGACUAAUGCAUUCUAACUGCCUGUCUCCUGCCCUAAAUAAACCCUCCUAGAUUUAAUGCACAAGAGAAUUAAAAGCAAUGAAAUGAAAUCAUAUAGAUAGUUAAACCUGCACUAAAGAGAUUCUGAAGAUACAGCCUUAUCUGAGGUAUUAUUUUGCUGGUUCUUCAGGUUUUUCCCUUCUGAACUGAAAGGUGAUUUUUGAUGCUCAACCAAAGUGUUCAGCAGCAAAAUGGCCUUUAUUUGUUAGAUAAAGAUAGAGGUUUUGUUGAACUUCAGCAUUUCAGUGUUCAGUCAACCCUGUCUCAAAGAUCUGAAGGAAGGCAACCAGUGCUUGGGGAAAAACCACAUUAAAUAUUAAAUGGUCCAAAUAUUGCACACACCAUUUAUUUUAGUUGUGACUGUAUUAAUAAUUCUUCAUCCCGACAAUGAAAUAAAUUGUCAUUUUUCACUUGAAGUUCAAUUUCUUUCAUUGUGAUAGACAGUAAUGUUGCACUCUAAAUCCUCUCAGCCUUUACUCCAUAAUAAGAAAACACAUGUAAAAGAGGGAAAUAACCUACUUCCAGUGUUUUCUUAUUCCCCAUAACCAUUUGUUGGCGUUUGUAUAUUUAAUUUCCUUUGUGGUUUAAAAAUUUGCUCCCUUUGAUGCUAAGGAUUUGACAGAUUAAUAACCUCAAAUUGUUUAACACUCUCCCAUCUUUUUUUUUUUAUCUCACCAGCUGUAAUUUAAUCUUUGAUAUUUAGUAUACACCUGAGACUUUGUGAGGGCAUGUUCAACUGUGAAUCAUUUGCAAUAACUCUCUUGUACGCCAAUGCGCUGAGCAGAUUUUCUCCCACACCCCAGAGAAUUAUAACCUUGUUGAAUUUCUGCACAGCAACAUUAUGUAUAUGAUUUAUUUAUUUAUUUUCACAAUUGGCCUCUAUUAGGCAAAUAGCACAUAAUUUGCCAGAUUCAAAUAUAAUCCAUCUAAUUUGCCCUCAGCUUUCAGGCUAUAAAAGAGCUACUUGUCGAGUCAUCUUGUCAACCAAAAGCAAGCUUCUCUAAGUGCUUUGGGAAAAGGUAGCAGAGGAUGGAAAAUUAGUGAGAAUAAAUUCCUGGUCCACAGUUUGGACAAAAAAAACACCUCUGUCAGAGACCCAGGAGAGCUGUUGCCCAUUCAAUAUAGUCUGAGCUCAUAUAAGGCAGCUUCCUAUGCUUGAUGCUCCAUGAAUGUCGUUAAUGCCAAACUGCACACUGCAUGUAACAGCUUUGGAAGGGAGUUCAGACUGGAGAAGUAGUUGAGGAGAGACUUGUUGAUUCUUUUGUGAAAUACAAAAAUGGGCAUGGAGAUGCUGGUGGAAUGGAUCUGAAAAAUUCCUGCUAACUGUUGUUUACUCAGUUUGCUGUUGUUUCUUCUGCGUACUGCACACUUUCCCAAGCCAUUCAGAGUGAGGGCCGUGGAAGGACUCUGCAGUGACAUUGUAACUGAAGGCAAAUAGAGCUGUCUCACUCUGAAUGUGUGGCAAUUUUGCUCUUAGUCUUGCCCUGCUGCACUGGUGGUGUAUGGUGAAUGUGUGUCCUCCCAUUCCUGCUCUGUCUGAACUUAUCAACUGUCCACAACUUGGUCCAAGCAGAGGAGCACUAGCUCCGUUGACUCAGAUGCCAGGAUGUGUUUUUUCUUCUUCUAUUUCCUCGCACCUAGAGCCUUUUGAACAUGGCAGCACCCUUUCACAAAGGGUUGCACAAAGGGUGGGCAUGUUCUAUGGUCAUGAGAUUCUAUGUUGUGCCCACUAUUUCUGCUCAGCGUUAAGAAGCCCUAAAUGUGUGUGUGUGGUUCAGCGUGAUUCAUAUCUGCUCAGGCAGCGAGGCUUCUCCUUACUUUUUUCCCCACUGCACCCACUUGUAUGCCCCCUAAAAUGUUCUCUGUGGGGUUGGGGAACCCACCAGAGCAGAUCUAGCAGUUACACAUAGAAGGCUUUUCUCCUACUCUAGGCUACUUGGAAUGGAUGUUAGAUGAUCUCUAUUAUAAUUUUAGCUUUAUGUUUUAUUUUAAUUGUUAUCCAGUUUACUGAAUUUUAUUUAUUGCUUUAAAAAUUAUCCUGAGAGCAUUGCUGAGCAUAGCCUCUUUGUGUACAAAAAGCAAUGGGGCAGAGUGAGCUGAUUCCUGGCAGGAAAACAACAUAGAAGGGGAAAUGGUUAUUACACAAAAAUGCUUCCCAUGACCCUGAUUUUGCCCCAAAUGAAUGGACACUACUUCUUUUUUUUUAUAUAAGAUAUUUAUUAAGCUUUUUUAAAGUAUUACAAUAAAAAUG